GGACGGGUGAGUAACGCGUGGGUAACCUGCCUCAUACAGGGGGAUAACAGUUGGAAACGGCUGCUAAUACCGCAUAAGCGCACAGGACCGCAUGGUGUAGUGUGAAAAACUCCGGUGGUAUGAGAUGGACCCGCGUCUGAUUAGGUAGUUGGUGGGGUAAAGGCCUACCAAGCCGACGAUCAGUAGCCGACCUGAGAGGGUGACCGGCCACAUUGGGACUGAGACACGGCCCAAACUCCUACGGGAGGCAGCAGUGGGGAAUAUUGCACAAUGGGGGAAACCCUGAUGCAGCGACGCCGCGUGAGCGAUGAAGUAUUUCGGUAUGUAAAGCUCUAUCAGCAGGGAAGAAGAUGACGGUACCUGAGUAAGAAGCACCGGCUAAAUACGUGCCAGCAGCCGCGGUAAUACGUAUGGUGCAAGCGUUAUCCGGAUUUACUGGGUGUAAAGGGAGCGUAGACGGAUAGGCAAGUCUGGAGUGAAAACCCAGGGCUCAACCUUGGGACUGCUUUGGAAACUGCAGAUCUGGAGUGCCGGAGAGGUAAGCGGAAUUCCUAGUGUAGCGGUGAAAUGCGUAGAUAUUAGGAGGACACCAGUGGCGAAGGCGGCUUAC
rnacentral:rRNA from 1 species